GGUGAGGUGUCCGAGUGGCUGAAGGAGCACACGGAAAGUGUGUAUACGGCAACGUAUCGGGGUUCGAAUCCCCCUCACCGCCA
rnacentral:tRNA from 1 species